rnacentral:rRNA from 1 species
UAAACACAUGCAAGUCGAGCGGAUGACGGGAGCUUGCUCCUUGAUUCAGCGGCGGACGGGUGAGUAAUGCCUAGGAAUCUGCCUGGUAGUGGGGGACAACGUUUCGAAAGGAACGCUAAUACCGCAUACGUCCUACGGGAGAAAGCAGGGGACCUUCGGGCCUUGCGCUAUCAGAUGAGCCUAGGUCGGAUUAGCUAGUUGGUGAGGUAAUGGCUCACCAAGGCGACGAUCCGUAACUGGUCUGAGAGGAUGAUCAGUCACACUGGAACUGAGACACGGUCCAGACUCCUACGGGAGGCAGCAGUGGGGAAUAUUGGACAAUGGGCGAAAGCCUGAUCCAGCCAUGCCGCGUGUGUGAAGAAGGUCUUCGGAUUGUAAAGCACUUUAAGUUGGGAGGAAGGGCAGUAAGUUAAUACCUUGCUGUUUUGACGUUACCGACAGAAUAAGCACCGGCUAACUCUGUGCCAGCAGCCGCGGUAAUACAGAGGGUGCAAGCGUUAAUCGGAAUUACUGGGCGUAAAGCGCGCGUAGGUGGUUCGUUAAGUUGGAUGUGAAAGCCCCGGGCUCAACCUGGGAACUGCAUCCAAAACUGGCGAGCUAGAGUACGGUAGAGGGUGGUGGAAUUUCCUGUGUAGCGGUGAAAUGCGUAGAUAUAGGAAGGAACACCAGUGGCGAAGGCGACCACCUGGACUGAUACUGACACUGAGGUGCGAAAGCGUG